GCCGGGGCGUGGAGGCGGUAACGCGCACGCGCGUUGGGAUCCGGCCCGGGCCGAGCGCGCGGCCCGACGAUUGCGGGUGACUAGCAUGCAGAUAACCAUUCUUUGACCUGCAGCCCCUCUUCUGACAUGGCCCACCGCGGUGGGGAGAGGGACUUCCAGACUUCAGCGCGGCGCAUGGGCACCUCGCUGCUCUUCCAGCUUUCAGUGCAUGAGCGGGAGCUGGACCUGGUGUUUCUGGAUCACAGCUAUGCCAAGCCGUGGAGUGCCCACCCAGAUGCCAGUAGUGCCCGCCCCACCCGCAUGCUCUUUGUUACUCCCCGGAGGCAACACGAAAGUCCCAUUGAGUCGGACGUCCCAAUAGACGUGGAGACAAUCACAUCGACCCCUGUGCCACUGUACGACAAUCAGAAGGCACGCAGCGUGAUGAACGAGUGUGAGCGGCACGUCAUCUUCGCCAGGACCGAUGCGGAUGCCCCUCCCCCGCCGGAGGACUGGGAGGAGCAUGUCAACAGGACUGGCUGGACAAUGGCCCAGAACAAGCUAUUCAACAAGAUCCUCAAAGCCCUACAGUCUGACCGGCUGGCCCGCUUGGCCAACGAAGGGGCUUGUAACGAGCCCGUGCUGCGCCGUGUUGCUGUGGACAAGUGUGCGAGGAGAGUGCGGCAGGCUCUGGCAAGCGUGAGCUGGGACACCAAGCUGAUCCAGUGGCUGCACACCACCCUAGUGGAGACCUUGAGCCUACCCAUGCUGGCGGCCUACCUGGAUGCUUUGCAGACACUGAAAGGGAAGAUCCCCACCUUGAUUGACCGGAUGCUUGUGUCAUCCAACACGAAGACCGGAGCUGCAGGAGCCGAGGCCUUGUCCCUCCUGUUGAAGAGGCCCUGGGACCCUGCCGUGGGGGUGCUUUCUCAUAACAAACCAAGCAAACUCCCCGGCUCUCCUCUCAUUCUCAUUGCCUCCUCCGGACCCUCCAGCUCCGUGUUCCCCACCUCACGCCGCCACCGCUUCUGGCAGUCGCAGCUGUCCUGCUUAGGCAAGGUCAUCCCUGUAGCCACCCAUCUGCUGAACAAUGGGAGUGGGGUAGGAGUUCUGCAGUGUCUUGAGCACAUGAUUGGGGCAGUGAGAAGCAAAGUGCUGGAGAUUCACAGCCAUUUUCCCCACAAACCCAUCAUCUUGAUUGGCUGGAAUACAGGAGCUUUGGUGGCCUGUCAUGUGUCGGUGAUGGAAUACGUCACUGCAGUUGUCUGCCUCGGGUUUCCUCUGCUUACCGUGGAUGGCCCCAGAGGGGAUGUGGAUGAUCCUCUCUUGGAUAUGAAGACUCCAGUCCUCUUUGUCAUUGGUCAGAAUUCCCUGCAGUGUCACCCUGAAGCCAUGGAGGACUUCCGGGAGAAGAUUCGGGCUGAGAACAGCUUGGUGGUGGUUGGGGGAGCUGAUGAUAAUCUCAGAAUAAGCAAAGCAAAGAAGAAAUCAGAAGGGUUGACUCAGAGCAUGGUGGACAGAUGUAUUCAGGAUGAGAUUGUGGACUUCCUGACUGGAGUGCUCACUCGCGCUGAGGGGCACGUGGGCUCUGAGCCUCGGGACCAGGAUGCUGAGAAGAAAAAGAAGCCCCGGGAUGUGGCCCGCAGAGACCUGGCCUUUGAGGUCCCUGAGCGGGGCAGUCGACCUGCCUCACCAGCUGCCAAGCUGCCUGCCUCACCCUCGGGCUCAGAGGAUCUCUCCAGUGUGUCCAGCAGCCCCACCUCCAGUCCCAAGACCAAAGUGACCACGGUGGCUUCUGCCCAGAAGUCCAGUCAGGUUGGAAGCACUCAGUUGCUGAAGAGACACGUCCAGCGGACGGAGGCUGUGCUGACCCACAAACAAGCCCAAGCACAGUUUGCUGCUUUUCUGAAACAAAAUAUGCUGGUGAGGAAAGCUCUUCCUCCCGGCACCUCCUCCUGUCUCUUUGUUCCUAUUUCAUCAGAACAAACGGAAGAAGCUGAGAAAGAGGAUCUCAGGGUCCAGCUGAAGCGGCACCAUCCCUCCAGCCCUCUUUCUGGCAGUAAGACUCCCAAGCGACCCAAGAUCAAGGUGUCCCUUAUCUCCCAGGGGGACACAGCUGGGGGGCCUUGUACUCCCCCCCAAGGAGGAGCUCCAGAAGCCACAGGAGGGAAGCCCAUCACCGUGGCACUGGGGCAAGCUUCAGCCGGGGCCAAGGAGCUCGCAGGGCUUCUCGCUACCAGCAAGUCAUGUGCUUCUGAAGGGGGAGUCUCAGCCAGCCCAGUGUCCUCAGUGGUCUCCAGCAGCACUGCACCCAGUGCCUUGCACACACUCCAGAGCCGCCUCGUGGCCACCUCUCCUGGCAGCUCCCUCCCAGGGGCCACAUCAGCCAGCAGCCUCCUCCAAGGCCUCAGCUUCAGCUUGCAGGAUAUCAGCAGCAAGACCUCUGGCCUCCCAGCAAGCCCCUCCCCGGGGCCACCCCCACAGGCCACCAGUGUGAAGUUGCCCACCCCCAUGCAGAGCCUGGGUGCCAUCACCACGGGCACCAGCACCAUUGUCCGUACCAUUCCUGUGGCCACCACUCUCUCCUCCUUGGGUGCCACUCCUGGUGGGAAGCCCACAGCCAUCCACCAGCUGCUGACCAAUGGGGGCCUCGCUAAGUUGGCAAGCAGCCUCCCUGGCCUGGCUCAGAUCUCUAACCAAGCAUCAGGCUUGAAGGUCCCCACCACCAUUACUCUGACACUGCGUGGCCAGCCCAGCCGAAUCACCACGCUGAGCCCCAUGGGUUCAGGAGCAGCCCCAGAGGAGCCCACCUCCCAGGCGCUUCCCUCCAGCUCACAGCGCCUGCCUCCAGCACCCUGAAGAUGCCAAGUGAUAUGUCCUCCUUUACCAGGUUGGUGAUGGCUGCUGCACGGUGAGGCUAGGGCACAUGUGCUGUCCUGCUGAGCUGGCCACUUGUCUGAGGACCUCUUUAAGACAGUCAUUUUUGCCUCUCUGCCAACUGUCUUGAGGGUUGGGCCUCUGCGUCUUGUGAAACCAUUGGGCAAGGUGAUAUAGUGCCAGCAAAGGGGGCUUUGUCCUCUAGCAUCUGUGAGUCUGGUUCCCAGAAUCCCCAGGCUCCUCAGCAGAUCUGGCCGUGUGUGGAUCGGAGGCACCUCUUCCCCAGCAUUAGCUGUGACUUGACCCAAGUAGCGAUGCGGGACUGCUCUCUGCAUUUCAUAAAGGAGUUCCUUUUCAUAGUCUGUGCUGCCCAUGCCAAAUUGGGAAGAGAUGUCCGUGUGGUCUGGGGCUGCAGGCGUUGGGACUGAGAGCCCUUUGCUGAGGAGUGGGACCAUCCUGGCCCGCUGGCCGGUGGUUCAGCGCCAGAAGGGCUUGUUUUGUGCAUUGCUGUUGCCUUCACCAAGCAGCCAUGGGAGAGUGCUCCCCAGGCAGCUCCCUCUUAGGAACCACGCUGGAUACUGGGUAGCCUGCUGCGACCUGGGAACUCCUUGCUUCAGACCCAUGACAGGGCAGAGAGAACUGGGCCGUUAUCUUUCAGUCCCUCUGGCCACUUGGAGAUGUGGGGAGCAGCAGUCUCCAGGAGGUGAAAGCUGGCUUCUUUCCUUUUUCCAUCAUGCUUUGCGUAGUUCCUGCAUCCAGAAACCCUGCAGGUCCAGAAAAGCUGAAGAAGAGGAAAGGAACAGCAAGUGACGUGGCUUGAAGGGCUUGCCAGUAACUCCUGUGGUGAAAACAGUUUGAGCUUGAGGCUUCGCUUCUGGUACCUGAGGAGCUGUUGAUUCAACUGGAGAUGAGAAGGAUUUGCCCAACCAGAGGGAAGAAACCUCAGCCCCUGACAUUUCUGUCUCCAGUGCUUGGAAGUGAAACAGGGAUAACCGCUAAGUUAACACCACGGCCAUCCCAGGAAGCGGAGGCAUCAGGACAACGAAAGCCGUGCUUCAGUAUUUCUGUUCCAUGUGACUUUUGUGUCUUCCUGCUUAGAAGCAGAACGAUUAUUGACAUUGACUCUGCCGUGCAAGGCUCUUGGUACCAGUCUGAGCCCUGGAGGUAGAGGUCCCUGGAAAAGUGAUCACUGAAGACGGAGCUCUGAGCCCUUCCUUAUGGCUUCACAAUACUUGUGUGCAAAGGUGAGGAAACUGAGGCACAGAGAAGUCCCACAGCAGGAAGUGGCAGAAGCAGGACUGAACCCAGGCAAUCUGAUGCCAGUGUCUCUCUUCUACUCUGCGCUGUGCUGGGGUUCUGAGAUGGGAGACCGGAAGUGGAGAUUAGCACAGGAGGUGAGGAGAUGGUGACUUGGCCUUCAUGUGACCCCUUUCAGUUUACUACCCACCAGACCUAGAGUGAUUGCUGCUGUCCUGCUGGGCUCUUGGAUGGGCCUGAGUCAGUAGGUGGGGGUCCCCUGCCCUUGGUCCUGAGAGAUUGAAAUCCUUUUGCAUAUCCUAUACCUCUACCACCCUCCAAAAAAUAAAGACUUAGAGAUGGAUGAAAUUCCAACCUCCACAUUCUUUGUGGACUUGUAUCCAAGGGAACCUUCCUUCCCAUCCUUAAAUUCCAGGUCCGUACAUGUAGCAUUGGAGCCCCCAUGGGUGGAAGCUGUAGUUCUGGUAGACUGCUUGGAGGGUCUGGUACGCAGGACCUCAUCCUGUUACCAUCCUUGGUAGAGACCUGAUGUGUCCAUUCCCUCACUUUCAGCUCUGGCCUCACUGACUUGGUUGAGACAGGUGAAGUGAGAGAUCAGGAUUAGAUUGCAGAACAGGGGCAAGGCCAUAGCAAAGUAUGAUGCAGAAAAAAACUUUACCUUUUUAUCUCCCUUUCUAAAACAUAAGUUUUAGUCAGGGUUGAUGGUUACAAGGAGCAGAAACUAUUCAUCACCCAAAUUAGCUCUAAAAGGCAGUAUUCUCUCAAUAGGUAUUUUCAGUGACAGGGAGCCUGACAGUUUCUGCUGCUUGCCUCAUGACAUCAACUGACUUGGAAUUGCCAGGAACCGGUUUUGAUCCUGUUGUCACAGGGUUUUUUCCCAACCAUUUGUGUAUGGUCGAUUUCUGCCUUUCAGUUCAAAUUCUGAACACAGUGGGUUGGUUACCGCUUAUGAGUUGGUUCUUCUUAUCCUCUCACCCCAAUCUAAUAAUAAUGUCCCAAGGAUGAAGUCAUAGGAUUCAUAUUAUUACCCUUCUGAGAGAGAAGGGAUUUAAAAAACAAAACAAAACUGUUGGGCUACUUAGAUGUGUGUAUGUAUGUGUUUGUUUUUUUAACUUGCAGUGAUGGUUUAGUUUUUUAACUUGUGUGUUCCCUUCAUCCAGUUUCCUCUAGUACUUAAAACUCACAUAACUAUAGUACAAUAUCAAAACCAAAAAUUACACUGGUACAAUGUGUAUGUAUAGUUCUAUGUCAUUUUAGUCCAGUAACCAUAAUCAAGAUACAGACUAUUCCAUCACCAUGAAGAUCUCCCUUAAGUUACUCCGUUAUAGUCACAUCCAUCCCCUGCUCUUCACCAUUUCCAGCCUGUAACAAUCACUAAUCUUUUCUACAUCUCUGUGUGUAGAAUUAUGUAUAAAUAGAAUCCUACAGUACUGACUUUUUGAGAUUUGCUUUUUUCCUGGCUUUUUUCCACUCAGCACAAUUCCCUCAGUGUCCAUCCAAGUUGUUGUGUGUUUCAGUAGUCUAUUUUCUUUUUACUGCUGAAUAUUAAUGUUCCAUGGAAUGGAUGUACCAGUUUUUGUAACCAUUCACCUAUUGAGGGACAUCUUGAUUGUUUCCAGUUUGGCACUAGUAUAAAUAAAGCUUCUGUGAGCAUUUGUAAGCAGGUUUUUGUGUGUAUAUCAGUUUUCAUUUCUCUGGAAUAAAUGCCCAGGAGUGUGGUUAUUGGGUCACAGAGUAAGUUUUUAUUUUUUUUAAAGAAAAUGUCAAACUGUUUUCCUGAGGAGCCAUACCAUUUUACAUUCCCACCAGUA